GGUCCUGUAGUGUAGCGGUUAUCACAUGGGAUUCUGAUAAAUGAAUGAGAAUUCAUUUCCCAUGACCCAGGUUCGAUUCCUGGCAGGACCU